rnacentral:rRNA from 1 species
GAGUUUGAUUCUGGCUCACANCUAACGCUGGCGGCAGGCCUAAGACAUGCAAGUCGUACGAGAAAGAUCUUUCGGGAUUGAGUAUAGUGGCGAACGGGUUAGUAACGCGUGGGAACAUACACAGCACAGGGGGAUAACCAUUGGAAACGGUGGCUAAUACCGCGUACGCCCUAGGGGGGAAAGAUUAAAUCGGUGUUGGAUUGGCCCGCGUUAGAUUAGUUAGUUGGUGGGGUAAGGGCCUACCAAGGCGACGAUUUAUAGCUGGUUUGAGAGGAUGAUCAGCAACACUGGAACUGAGACACGGUCCAGACUCCUACGGGAGGCAGCAGUCGGGAAUAUUGUGCAAUGGGGGCAACCCUGACACAGCCAUGCCGCGUGAGUGAAGAAGGCCUUAGGGUUGUAAAUCUCUUUCAGAUGUGAGGAUGAUGACGAUAGCAUCACAAGAAGCUCCGGCUAACUUCGUGCCAGCAGCCGCGGUAAUACGAAGGGAGCAAGCGUUGUUCGGAAUUACUGGGCGUAAAGGGCGUGUAGGCGGAUUAUCAAGUUAGGGGUGAAAUCCCGGGGCUUAACCUCGGCACUGCCUUUAAGACUGAUAAUCUAGAGUAUGUGAGGGGAUAAUGGAAUACCUAGUGUAGAGGUGAAAUUCGUAGAUAUUAGGUGGAACACCAGUGGCGAAGGCGAUUAUCUGGCACAGUACUGACGCUGAGGCGCGAAAGCGUGGGGAGCAAACAGGAUUAGAUACCCUGGUAGUCCACGCCGUAAACGAUGUAUGCUAGUUGUCGGACAUUGGUUCGGUGACGCAGUUAACGCAAUAAGCAUACCGCCUGGGGAGUACNGUCGCAAAGAUUAAAACUCAAAGAANUUGACNGGGACCCGCACAAGCGGUGGGAGCAUGUGGUUUUAAUUCGAAGCAACGCCNAAGAACCNUUACCCACCUUUGAACAUGGUAGUUAGGGGUAUUUGGANACAAUACCCU